rnacentral:rRNA from 1 species
CCUACGGGCGGCAGCAGUGAGGAAUAUUGGUCAAUGGGCGGAAGCCUGAACCAGCCAAGUCGCGUGAGGGAAUAAGGCCCUACGGGUCGUAAACCUCUUUUGCCGGGGAGCAAGGGCGGGGACGUGUCCCGGCCCGGAGAGUACCCGGAGAAAAAGCAUCGGCUAACUCCGUGCCAGCAGCCGCGGUAAUACGGAGGAUGCGAGCGUUAUCCGGAUUUAUUGGGUUUAAAGGGUGCGUAGGCGGGCUUUUAAGUCAGCGGUAAAAAUUCGGGGCUCAACCCCGUCCGGCCGUUGAAACUGGGGGCCUUGAGUGGGCGAGAAGAAGGCGGAAUGCGUGGUGUAGCGGUGAAAUGCAUAGAUAUCAGGAGGAACACCGGUGGCGAAGGCGGCCUGCUGGACUGCAACUGACGUUGAGGCCCGAAAGCGUGGGGAGCAAACAGGAUUAGAUACCCUAGUAGUC